UACGUAGGGCGCAAGCGUUAUCCGGAAUUACUGGGCGUAAAGAGCUCGUAGGUGGUUUGUCGCGUUGUCCGUGAAAACUCACAACUCAAUUGUGGGCGUGCGGGCGAUACGGGCAGACUGGAGUACUGCAGGGGAGACUGGAAUUCCUGGUGUAGCGGUGGAAUGCGCAGAUAUCAGGAGGAACACCGGUGGCGAAGGCGGGUCUCUGGGCAGUAACUGACGCUGAGGAGCGAAAGCGUGGGGAGCGAACAGG
rnacentral:rRNA from 1 species